GUUGACUUUUCGAACUUUAUAAUCCCUGAACGUCAACAAACACUCCGGUCCCAGAUGUGUGCAUCACUUUUUAGUGUCCCUGUUUCCGUUUUGAGCGU